CUGCUUUUCAGCCCACAGACCUGUGCGAGACGGAGCUGGUUCUGUCCAGCAGAUGGUGGUGGUGUCGUGGCCCAGUGCUUCCGAGAGGCAGACCACACAUUCCUUGGGAAAAGAUCUCCAGAAGCUGCAUCAAGCAAGUAAAAUCAAGAAGAGGGAGGAUGUGCUGAUUAAAUGAAAAACCCAUCCUUGCACAGAGUCACUGGCACUCUGACUUCUGCCAGAUAACUUUAUGCUCUGUUAUCACUGAGGUGAUGUAUUUAUCAGCUGCCAGUGCCCAGAGCAAGCCUCAUGCUAUUUCUGGAGAAACCUAUGAAGUCUCUGGAAAGAGAUGAGGAACCAAAAGAAACCAUCCAGUGCAAGAGUCCAAGGAAGCCUACCACAGCUUCCCCGUUCAACGUUGCCGUUUUGGGCUGAGGCACUCUCGAGCAGCAAAAGGACCUAUCUGGCAGUGGGAGCAGGCAGCACACCUUCUGCGCACUUGCAGCAGAAAGCUAAGCCAGGGCUCUUCCGGUAAGAAAGCACGGACCUGCUGAAAUUAGAAUAUCCUGUGCAAAAGUACCAGGCGGAUGAACUAUGGUAGGAUCUGGCCGAGGCUCCCGCUGAGCAUCUGGCUGCCGGAACCUUGGAAUUGGCAGCAAAUGGAAAUUCAACUCUUCAUCAGACAUACCUGGCGCAGUUUUGAUCAUCUUGGUCUCAGCCUUAAGAUCUAAGGAACUGUGCUGGAUAGAGCGGGGGUACAGGAAAAGAGACUGAAAAAGAACUGAGAUGUCACUUUUGCCACCCUUGCCCUUGUCUCUGACUUCACUGGCAGAUUUUAGGACUGAUGCAAGGAGGCUGCUGACUGACAGCCCUGUGGAGAGAAACUCGGAACCAGUAUUAAUGACGGCCAGCCUGCCUGCUGGGAGAGUGACACCUCUAGCUGUGACAUCUUAAUAUGAAGCGAGUCCAUGAGAGGGUCCCAGCCACAGCAGCUGAGAGGAGUUUUACAUCUCAACAUGGCAAUGUGAAGAAAGGAAAAAAAAAUUGUUAUAAGAUUCUAACCAAUUUCAGUCUCUUGAAUUUGCCUCUGCUGGAUGGUUUCAUAUUCACAGAUUCUAGUGGGGGGGUUGGAGCUGCAAGACGAGUGCUGGGCGCACAGAGGCCUGCUGGGUACUCGGAGCUACUGACUCACAUGGAGUCCUGGCAGGACGAAAAUCUCUGCACUGCAGUCUGGCCGAAGUAUCUCACCAGGACAGUGGGAGAAAUGUUUCUCUCAUCAGCCCCUUUGAGAGUGCACACACCAUCCCCUUGUCUUGUGAAAGGUACUGCCUUUCACACGGGAGAGCUGGAAUUGUGUAUGGCCACCUAGAGCCAGCUCCAAGGAGAGCUGAGGCAAGCGCUCCCCUUCCCAGGAGGCAAUCGAUCCUCACAGCACGAAGGCUGGUGCUCAGGGGGGCAGAUGGCUCAUGAGCUGGGAGAAGAAGCUGCGCUUAAUACUCUACUGCGCGUCGGGGGGCUGCAUUUCGUUCUCCGCUCUGCACGCGUGCUGGGUAAGAGCUGAAACGACAACAGAGCGCUGGCGGGGGUAGCAGGAGCAGCUAGCAGGACAGAGCUGCGCUGCUCACCCAGCACAGCUCCAGCGAGACCUAACAAGCUAAAGUGAGCGCAGUGCUCCUGGGCGGGGGAGGCAGCGACGUCACGGGAGGACAGACCUGAAACUCUAAUAGCUCUACUCACAUCGUGAGCCGGGUGUUGCAUGGUGCCCUGUUUAUCUGCGUGGCUGCAGUUUUCCGUUCUCCUUGUUGAAUAAGUAGUUUAAAAUAACUGAUUCAUGUUUGUGGGUGGGUGUGCUUUGCCUCUUCUUUUUUUUUUUCUU